rnacentral:rRNA from 1 species
UACGUAGGGGGCAAGCGUUGUCCGGAUUUAUUGGGCGUAAAGAGCGUGUAGGCGGCUAGGUAGGUCCGUUGUGAAAACUCGAGGCUCAACCUCGAGACGCCGGUGGAAACCAUCUAGCUAGAGUCCGGAAGAGGAGAGUGGAAUUCCCGGUGUAGCGGUGAAAUGCGCAGAUAUCGGGAAGAACACCCGUGGCGAAGGCGGCUCUCUGGGACGGUACUGACGCUGAGACGCGAAAGCGUGGGGAGCGAACGAGG